GACGAACGCUGGCGGCGUGCUUAACACAUGCAAGUCGAACGGUAAGGCUUGGUGCUUGCGCUGUGCGGGUGAGGCGAGAACGGGUGAGUAACGCGUGAAUAAUCUUCUCGUCACUCGGGGAUAAGCAGGGAACAGGGGGUAUAAUACGGUAUACGCCCUGGCACCGCAGGGUGGUGUGGGGAAAUGGGUUGGCUGGUUAUGGAUGGGCUCACGGCCUAUCAGCUUGUUGGUGGGGUAAUGGCUCACCAAGGCUACGACGGGUAGCCGGCCUGAGAGGGUGACCGGCCACACUGGGACUGAGAUACGGCCCAGACUCCUACGGGAGGCAGCAGUGGGGAAUAUUGCACAAUGGGCGGAAGCCUGAUGCAGCAACGCCGCGUGAGGGAUGACGGCCUUCGGGUUGUAAACCGCUUUCGGCAGGGAAGAAGCGAAAGUGACGGUAAUGGGUAAAGAAGCGCCGGCUAACUACGUG
rnacentral:rRNA from 1 species